rnacentral:tRNA from 2 species
GGCGCUGUGGCAGAAUGGCGAUGCAGCGGAUUGCAAAUCCGUACUAUUCCGGUUCGAAUCCGGUCGGCGCCUCCA